UUGUCCUGGUUUAUGCUUUCCCUGCUUCUUGUAUGCAGUUCUAACAAGACAGGACACACAGCAAUCUUCAGUUUAGGAGGGCCAUCCUAAGAGUAGGGCUGACUCUUAAUAGGCAUGAAUGUCAAU
ensembl:scaRNA